AUUGAACGCUGGCGGCAGGCCUAACACAUGCAAGUCGAGCGGCUGAAGGGUGCUUUCUCCUGGAUUCAGCUGCGGACUGGUGUGUAAUUCCUAUGAAUCUGCCUGGUAUUUGUUUAUAACGUCCGUUAACGGGCGCUAAUACCCCAUACGUCCUGAUGUUGAAAUUGUGUUUUCUUCGUACCUCACGCUAUCAUAUGAGCCUAGUUCGGAUUAGCUAGUUGGUGGGGUAAAGGCCUACCAAGGCGACGAUCCGUAACUGGUCUGAGAGGAUGAUCAGUCACACGGGAAAGGAGACACGGUCAAGAAGACGACGGGAGGAAGCAGUGGGGAAGAUUGGACAAGGGGCGAAAGCAUGAUACAGAAAAGACGAGUGUGUGAAGAAGGUAGUAGGAUUGUAAAGAACUGUAAGGUGGGAGGAAGGGAAGUAAGUUAAAAAAUGGAUGGAUUGACGGUAAAAAAAGAAUAAGCACCGGCUAACUACGUG
rnacentral:rRNA from 1 species